CCGGAUCCCAUCAGAACUCCACAGUUAAGCGCGUUUGGGCUAGAGUAGUACUGGGAUGGGUGACCUCCCGGGAAGUCCUAGUGUUGCACCCU
rnacentral:rRNA from 1 species